ACUGCCAGGCCUAUGAGGGAGCCAAUCAAGACCAGAACUGUCCAGCUAAGGCCAGUCUAAAGCCAACUCAGACUUGUGAGCAAAAUAAAUGCUUAUUAGUCAUUGAGUUUUGGGAUGGUUUGUUACAGAACAUUACAGUGGCAAUAGUUAACUGAAGAUAAAACUCCCUUCAGUGAUGGACACCACCACUUCCCCACUGAGAUGGUUCAAGUCUAACUCCUAUUACCAUCUGAGGGAACAAGCACAUUGCAGAAUUAAGUAGCAGAGGAUUUCUAGACUUAACACGUAAUUUAAUUCAAUCCAAAUAUAUUGAGCACCCAUUAGAGACACUACAGCGAAUUAAAAAGGAAUAUGGCCACUGCCUACCUAGAAGUUUAUACAGUCUAGCAGAGGAGCCAAGACCACAGAAACAGGGUCUCGCCAUGUUGCCCAGGCUGGUCUCAAACUCCUGGACUCAAGCAAUCCUCCCACCUCAGCCUCCCAAAGUGCUGGGAUUACAGGCAUGAGUCACCACAGCCAGCCCAGUACCUGCUUUUAAGGAGCUCAUACCGACCAGAGUUCAAGCAAAAAAAAAAAAAAAAAAAAAAGCUCUUCUACAGGUCUACUUAAACUUUGAAAGAUGAGAUUGUUCAAAAAUGACACGAGAAAAUCACCCAUCACCACUAAGUUAAAGACUUGAAUAUGUGAGAGUUCCAGAGCCUCAAACUCCUACUACAGUCACUGAUCCAUAACAUUUUCCUCUUGCAAUGGACUCCACGCCAAAGUAGCUCAGUCUUGC
rnacentral:lncRNA from 1 species